rnacentral:rRNA from 1 species
GAGUUUGAUCCUGGCUCAGGAUGAACGCUGGCGGCGUGCCUAAUACAUGCAAGUCGAGCGAACAGAUAAGGAGCUUGCUCCUUUGAAGUUAGCGGCGGACGGGUGAGUAACACGUGGGUAACCUACCUAUAAGACUGGGGAUAACUUCGGGAAACCGGAGCUAAUACCGGAUAACAUUUAGAACCGCAUGGUUCUAAAGUGAAAGAUGGUUUUGCUAUCACUUAUAGAUGGACCCGCGCCGUAUUAGCUAGUUGGUAAGGUAACGGCUUACCAAGGCGACGAUACGUAGCCGACCUGAGAGGGUGAUCGGCCACACUGGAACUGAGACACGGUCCAGACUCCUACGGGAGGCAGCAGUAGGGAAUCUUCCGCAAUGGGCGAAAGCCUGACGGAGCAACGCCGCGU